CGCACAUCUUUUAGAUCAUCUGCAGGGCAACAAACCUCCAAGCUAGAAUAGAGGUCUCAUUAGUAGGCUAAUUUAUUACAGUGCCAAACAAGUUUGCACAGGAUAGCAGUUUAAGGAAGGAGGAAAACUGCAGGCACUCUUUUUCACACUAGGCUGACUACCUAAACACAUCUAAGCACUACGUUUCUCACAUCUCUCCUCCCAAUCUUCCACAUCCAAUUCAGGAUCAUCAUCCACGUUCCAAACAUACACAUCUUCAGUCCAAGUGGACUUAUCUUCGGUUUCAGGAUUCUCAUCACACUUGUCCUCACCAACUUUGGUCUCCCCAUCUCCUGUUUCAGUGCUCUCUGUAUAGCUCAGGGGAAAUGAGUACUUGUGACUGUUGGAGGCCCACAUUGGGUAGUUAGCAGCAAAGCGCCUCUCACGAACCAUGCGCUCAGCCAUCAUAUUGCUCUGUACAAGCAGAUCUGGGAACAUGCCAUUCAACCGAACGAUCCUUGCUUGGAUGUCAUUGACCAAGUUCCAUCCUCUGAAGCGCAAACUGUUGGAGAUCUGGCGAGAAGUCCCUUGACUCAGUACCAAGAUGUAGCAACCGGGUGGCAACUACUGCCAUUUGUUGAAGAACAGACUCUGCAGCGACAUACGUAAUCCGUCGAUUGAUAUGAUCCUUAAUGUGCGCAUGCAGGGCAAACGCACGUGUAAGCAUCUCCUCUCCCUCUUCAAGGAGCCGGUCUGCCUUUGAGAGCUGAGAGUUAUACUCUUCAUCCAGAUCUGCAUAUUGAUAUGUAAACAUUCAAAAUGUAAACUACGAUAGGAGCAAAGUGAAAUGGGAUAUUUUAGAACUUCUCAAAGAAUGUAGCCCUGUAAUUUUGCAUGAUAGCCAUGACAUUAUAAUAAAUAUGACACAAAUAAUAUUAAUGUGCAAGUGAAUCAUGUUGUCAUUGUACGUAUAAUCCCCACAUAAGUUUGGCUCAAUCUCAUUAGUAACUAGUACAUUGUUGUCAUUAGAAAAUGCUGUAAAAGUAGUUAAAAUUACUUAAAGAAGGAAGCUGUUCCUUAUAAACAAUGAGAUAGAUAUGAGACACAAAAAAUAGAUUAUAAAUGGAAUAAAAAUAAUACUAUUUUGAUUUUCUCUCUAAAACAUGCUAUAUGUAAUAUCAGGAAAAACUUCAACGCAUUAUGCCUCUGAAUUCUCAACAUGUGUGUUCAUUGCGACAAUGAGCAAGGUAAGAAAUAUGCAAUACACGCAUUAACAUGAAUGGUUUUGAAAUAUAUGAAAAUAGUUCACAAGGAGUGGAAUGGAGAUGAGUGAAAACAUUCAUGAUUUCUUAAUUAUUGGUACAUCGAAUUAGUGGUUACUGAAAAUGAAUGGGAUGUACUAGAUAGGGAAUGACCAAGGCGUAUGUGCAAGCAUACAUUUAUCUUAAAAUCAAUGUCAAUGUGCAAAUUGUGCGAGCUAGCUUCUGAUGCAAGCGAAGGAACAUGAUGGUGUGAAACCAACAAUAAAGUUUCCGAAUCCCAGAAAAAAAAAGCUUGGAGCAUAUAUCAUGCAGAAUAUUUAGAAAACUACUUUAGGCAUGCUAAAUUAUGCAAAUGGAUCAAACGAUGUACGCACGGUAUGAAAAUAUUAAGGUAUGCCAAGAGUUAUAUUCUUCAUGCAGAUCUGCAUAUUGAUAUGUAAACAUUCAAAAUGUAAACUAUGGUAGGAGCGAAGUGAAAUGGGAUAUUUUAGAACUUCUCAAAGAAUGGAGCCCUGUAAUUUUGCAUGAUAGCCAUGACAUUAUAAUAAAUAUGACACAAAUAAUACUAAUGUGCAAGUGAAUCAUGUUGUCAUUGUACGUAUAAUCCCCACAUAAGUUUGGCUCAAUCUCAUUAGUAAUGAGUACAUUGUUGUCAUUAGAAAAUGUUGUAAAAGUAGUUAAAAUUACUUAAAGAAUGAAGCAUUCCUUAUAAACACUGAGAUAGAUAUGAGACUAAAACAAUAGACUAUAAAUGGAAUAAAAAUAAUACUAUUUUGAUUUUCUCUCUAAAACAUGCAAUAUGUAAUAUCAGGAAAAACUUCAACGCAUUAUGCCUCUGAAUUCUCAACAUGCGUGUUCAUUGCGACAAUGAGCAAGGUAAGAAAUAUGCAAUACAAGCAUUAACAUGAAUGGUUUCAAAAUAUAUGAAAAUAGUUCACAAGGAGUGGAAUGGAGAUGACUGAAAACAUUCAUGAUUUCUUAAUUAUUGGUACAUCGAAUUAGUGGUUACUGAAAAUGAAUGGGAUGUACUAGAUAGGGAAUGACCAAGGCGUAUGUGCAAGCAUACAUUUAUCUUAAAAUCAAUGUCAAUGUGCAAAGUGUGCAAGCUAGCUUCUGAUGCAAGCGAAGGAACAUGAUGGUGUGAAACCAACAAUAAAGUUUCCGAAUCCCAGAAAAAAAAAACUUGGAGCACAUAUCAUGUAGAAUAUUUAGAAAACUACUUUAGGCAUGCUAAACUAUGCAAAUAGAUCAAACGAUGUACGCACGGUAUGAAAAUAUUAAGGUAUGCCAAGAGUGUGUAGAAAGAAUGACUUAGCAAAUUUUAGUUAGAGUAUGUACAUCAGUGAAUACACUAUCUUAAAUAGGCAUGACACUAU
rnacentral:lncRNA from 1 species